rnacentral:misc_RNA from 1 species
AGCAGCCGCGGUAAUUCCAGCUCCAAUAGCGUAUAUUAAAGUUGUUGCAGUUAAAAAGCUCGUAGUUGAAUUUCGGGAUCAAUAUGUUGGUCGUGCCUUGGUACGUACUGGCGUCAUUGAUUUCUACCUUCUGAAGAACCUCGAUGUCAUUAAUUUGGUGUCUUGGGGAAUCAGGACUGUUACUUUGAAAAAAUUAGAGUGUUUAAAGCAAGCUCACGCUUGAAUACAUUAGCAUGGAAUAAUGAAAUAGGACGUUUGAUUCUAUUUUGUUGGUUUCUAGGAUCGACGUAAUGAUUAAUAGGGAUAGUUGGGGGCAUUAGUAUUCAAUUGUCAGAGGUGAAAAUUCUUGGAUUUAUUGAAGACUAACUACUGCGAAAAGCAUUUUGCCAAGGAUGUUUUCAUUAAUCAAGAACGAAAGUUAGGGGAUCGAAGACGAUCAGAUACCGUCGUAGUCUUAACCAUAAACUAUGCCGACUAGGGAUCGGAUGAUGUUAAUUUUUUCAAUGACUCAUUCGGCGCC